AUUGAACGCUGGCGGCAUGCUUUACACAUGCAAGUCGAACGGUAACAGGGAGCUUGCUCCGCUGACGAGUGGCGAACGGGUGAGUAAUGCGUCGGAACGUGCCGAGUAGUGGGGGAUAACGCAGCGAAAGUUGUGCUAAUACCGCAUACGUACUGAGGUAGAAAGUGGGGGACCUUCGGGCCUCACGCCAUUCGAGCGGCCGACGUCUGAUUAGCUAGUAGGUGAGGUAAAGGCUCACCUAGGCGACGAUCAGUAGCGGGUCUGAGAGGAUGAUCCGCCACACUGGGACUGAGACACGGCCCAGACUCCUACGGGAGGCAGCAGUGGGGAAUUUUGGACAAUGGGCGAAAGCCUGAUCCAGCCAUGCCGCGUGUCUGAAGAAGGCCUUCGGGUUGUAAAGGACUUUUGUCGGGGAGGAAAUCCCCAGCGCUAAUACCGCUGGGGGAUGACAGUACCUGAAGAAUAAGCACCGGCUAACUACGUGCCAGCAGCCGCCGUAAUAC
rnacentral:rRNA from 1 species